UCUCCGAUGGUGAACCAGCGGAGGGAUCAUUA
rnacentral:rRNA from 1 species